rnacentral:rRNA from 1 species
GGGAUAAGCCUGGGAAACUGGGUCUAAUACCGGAUAUGACUCCUCAUCGCAUGGUGGGGGGUGGAAAGCUUUAUUGUGGUUUUGGAUGGACUCGCGGCCUAUCAGCUUGUUGGUGAGGUAAUGGCUCACCAAGGCGACGACGGGUAGCCGGCCUGAGAGGGUGACCGGCCACACUGGGACUGAGACACGGCCCAGACUCCUACGGGAGGCAGCAGUGGGGAAUAUUGCACAAUGGGCGCAAGCCUGAUGCAGCGACGCCGCGUGAGGGAUGACGGCCUUCGGGUUGUAAACCUCUUUCAGUAGGGAAGAAGCGAAAGUGACGGUACCUGCAGAAGAAGCGCCGGCUAACUACGUGCCAGCAGCCGCGGUAAUACGUAGGGCGCAAGCGUUAUCCGGAAUUAUUGGGCGUAAAGAGCUCGUAGGCGGUUUGUCGCGUCUGCCGUGAAAGUCCGGGGCUCAACUCCGGAUCUGCGGUGGGUACGGGCAGACU